CGGACGGGUGAGGAAUACAUCGGAAUCUACUCUGUCGUGGGGGACAACGUUUCGAAAGGAACGCUAAUACCGCAUACGUCCUACGGGAGAAAGCAGGGGACCUUCGGGCCUUGCGCUAUCAGAUGAGCCUAGGUCGGAUUAGCUAGUUGGUGAGGUAAUGGCUCACCAAGGCGACGAUCCGUAACUGGUCUGAGAGGAUGAUCAGUCACACUGGAACUGAGACACGGUCCAGACUCCUACGGGAGGCAGCAGAC
rnacentral:rRNA from 1 species